UACGGGGGGGGGUAAGCGUUGUUCGGAAUUACUGGGCGUAAAGGGUCUGUAGGUGGCUUGCUAAGUCAGACGUGAAAUCCCUCGGCUCAACCGGGGAACUGCGUCUGAUACUGGGUGGCUUGAAUCCGGGAGAGGGAUGCGGAAUUCCAGGUGUAGCGGUGAAAUGCGUAGAUAUCUGGAGGAACACCGGUGGCGAAGGCGGCAUCCUGGACCGGCAUUGACGCUGAGGCGCGAAAGCCAGGGGAGCAAACGGG
rnacentral:rRNA from 1 species